UUGGGUUUGAUGGUCUCUGGGUUAGAGUGUCCCCUAUGGGUCAGUGGACCCAAGUGUGACCCGUCGGUGGCAGAGUCAGUCUGCCAGUGUAGUCCAGUUUUUGUGGAGGGAAGAUGCCUGUCCGCCGACCUCGUGGUUCUAGAUUUGACAGAUUUUGACGUCAUUCUAGGGAUGGAUUGGCUAUCUACCCAUGGUGCUACCUUGGAUUGCAGAGACAAGGUAGUCAGGUUCAGAUGUCAGGAUGGGUUAGAAGUUG
rnacentral:lncRNA from 1 species